GUGGGAGGGGAAAGUUAUCUCUGACCGCAUGCCUGUUGAAGAAUGAGCCGACGACUCAUAAGCAGUGGCUUGGUUAAGGAACGGAACCCAUCAGAGCCGUAGCGAAAUCGAGUCUUCAUAGGGCGAUUGUCACUGCUUAUGGACCCAAACCUGGGUGAUCUAUCCAUGACAAGGAUGAAACUUGGAUAAAACUAAGCAGAGGUCCAAACCGACCGAUGUUGAAGAAUCAACGGAUGAGUUGUGGUUAGAGGUAUUUGUUAAAUCGACAACCUUUAUUAAUCAAGGAUCGUAUGGAUCCUAGC
rnacentral:ncRNA from 1 species